UACGGAGGGGGCAAGCGUUAUUCGGAAUCACUGGGCGUAAAGGGCGCGUAGGCGGCCAUUUAAGUCGGGGGUGAAAGCCUGUGGCUCAACCACAGAAUUGCCUUCGAUACUGGAUGGCUUGAGACCGGAAGAGGUAAGUGGAACUGCGAGUGUAGAGGUGAAAUUCGUAGAUAUUCGCAAGAACACCAGUGGCGAAGGCGGCUUACUGGUCCGGAUCUGACGCUGAGGCGCGAAAGCGUGGGGAGCAAACAGG
rnacentral:rRNA from 1 species